GAAGUGUUUUACAAGUUCGGGGCUGCAUUUGUGCAAAUCGACUUGGGCAUUUUAUCAGAAUUAAUGGUCUCCUUAAUAAUAAUACCAAAGUUCAGCUUGCUCUGGUUUCCAAGUACGUCCUAAGUAGUUGUAGCGUUGGCAGAACUCCCAAAUGCUGUUCGUAUAGGUGAACUGGAACUGGAACGAGCCGUGGGUCCAUGGUGACCGGUGUUCAUGGGAGUGCCUGACCAAAAUUAGUUCCAGG